CCUACGGGUGGCAGCAGUGAGGAAUAUUGGGCAAUGGACGAAACUCUGAACCAGCCAUGCCGCGUGAGUGAAGACGGUCCUCGGAUUGGUAAACUCUUUCGGACGUGACGUUAAUGACUGUAGCGUCUAAAGAAGCACCGGCAAACUUCGUGACAGCAGCCGCAGUAAUACGAAGGUUGCGAGCGUUGUUCGGAAUUACUGGGCGUAAAGGGAGUGUAGGCGGAUAUGUAAGAUAGCGGUGAAAUGCCGGGGCUCAACCCCGGAACUGCCAUUAUGACUAUGUAUCUAGAGUAAUGGAGAGGAUAGCGGAAUACGCAGUGUAGCGGUGAAAUUCGUAGAUAUUACGUAGAACACCGGUGGCGAAGGCAGCUAUCUGGCCAUUUACUGACGCUGAGGCUCGAAAGCAUGGGCAUCAAACAGGAUUAGAUACCCCAGUAGUC
rnacentral:rRNA from 1 species